rnacentral:rRNA from 1 species
UACGAAGGGGGCUAGCGUUGCUCGGAAUGACUGGGCGUAAAGGGCGCGUAGGCGGCGAUCAAGGUCAGAUGUGAAAUUCCUGGGCUUAACCUGGGGGCUGCAUUUGAUACGUGGUGGCUUGAGUGCGGAAGAGGGUCGUGGAAUUCCCAGUGUAGCGGUGAAAUGCGUAGAGAUCGGGAGGAACACCAGUGGCGAAGGCGGCUACCUGGACCAGCACUGACACUGAGGCACGAAAGCGUGGGGAGCAAACAGG